AAACGGGUGGUAAUGCCGGAUGCUCCAGCUCAUCGCAUGGUGUUCUGGGAAAGCCUUUGCGGCAUGGGAUGGGGUCGCGUCCUAUCAGCUUGAUGGCGGGGUAACGGCCCACCAUGGCUUCGACGGGUAGCCGGCCUGAGAGGGCGACCGGCCACAUUGGGACUGAGAUACGGCCCAGACUCCUACGGGAGGCAGCAGUGGGGAAUAUUGCACAAUGGGCGCAAGCCUGAUGCAGCGACGCCGCGUGAGGGAUGGAGGCCUUCGGGUUGUAAACCUCUUUUGUUAGGGAGCAAGGCAUUUUGUGUUGAGUGUACCUUUCGAAUAAGCACCGGCUAACUACGUGCCAGCAGCCGCGGUAAUACGUAGGGUGCAAGCGUUAUCCGGAAUUAUUGGGCGUAAAGGGCUCGUAGGCGGUUCGUCGCGUCCGGUGUGAAAGUCCAUCGCUUAACGGUGGAUCCGCGCCGGGUACGGGCGGGCUUGAGUGCGGUAGGGGAGACUGGAAUUCCCGGUGUAACGGUGGAAUGUGUAGAUAUCGGG
rnacentral:rRNA from 1 species